AUUGAACGCUGGCGGCAUGCCUAACACAUGCAAGUCGAGCGGAUGAAGGGUGCUUGCUCCUGGAUUCAGCGUCGGACGGGUGAGUAAUGCCUAGGAAUCUGCCUGGUAGUGGGUGAUAACGUCCUGAAACGGGUGCUAAUACCGCAUACGUCCUGCGGGAGAAAGUGGGGGAUCUUCGGACCUCACGCUAUCAGAUGAGCCUAGGUCGGGUUAGCUAGCUGGUGGGGUAAAGGCCUACCAAGGCGACGAUCCGUAACUGGUCUGAGAGGAUGAUCAGUCACACUGGAACUGAGACACGGUCCAGACUACUACGGGAGGCAGCAGUGGGGAAUAGUGGACAAUGGGCGAAAGCCUGAUCCAGCCAUGCCGCGUGUGUGAAGAAGGUCUUCGGAUUGUAAAGCACUUUAAGUUGGGAGGAAGGGCAGUAAGUUAAUACCUUGCUGUUUUGACGUUACCAACAGAAUAAGCACCGGCUAACUUCGUG
rnacentral:rRNA from 1 species